UUACCUACUCUUGACAUCCACAGAACUUAGCAGAGAUGCUUUGGUGCCUUCGGGAACUCUGAGACAGGUGCUGCAUGGCUGUCGUCAGCUCGUGUUGUGAAAUGUUGGGUUAAGUCCCGCAACGAGCGCAACCCUUAUCCUUUGUUGCCAGCGGUUCGGCCGGGAACUCAAAGGAGACUGCCAGUGAUAAACUGGAGGAAGGUGGGGAUGACGUCAAGUCAUCAUGGCCCUUACGAGUAGGGCUACACACGUGCUACAAUGGCAUAUACAAAGAGAAGCGACCUCGCGAGAGCAAGCGGACCUCAUAAAGUAUGUCGUAGUCCGGAUUGGAGUCUGCAACUCGACUCCAUGAAGUCGGAAUCGCUAGUAAUCGUGGGAUCAGAAUGCCACGGGUGAAUACGUUCCCCGGGC
rnacentral:rRNA from 1 species